ensembl:lncRNA
AAUUCUGUUGCACUUUUUCUGCAGUCUUUGUCUUUUUGUGUUCAUGAGUAUUUUGUGUGUGUGCAGAUGUAGUGGCAGCCCUGUCUCCUGUUGUGAAGCAGAUGUUGCCCUCUGUUUUUACCCACCUCUGCACCCUUUAUCCCAUGCCAAGUCCCAAAAAGCAACGUGAGGGACACAAUGGAUAUGUAAAAAUCCAGCAGAAUACAGAAAUCUACAGUGUUUCCUUAAACUGUGUAAAUUCACAUGAAGUAGCCUGCAACCUACCGAAAUGGAAACUCCUACAAAUACAUAUUCAACAAGGUGAGUCACAAAAAUAACUGUCCAUGCCUUUUCAGCGCUAAUUUCCUGCUGCGUGUCUUUAGUCAAUCCUGACAGUAGUUUUUUAACCCCAAAAUGAGGGUUUGUGCUGGCGCAAACCAAUAGUACAUCUGGCUCUUAGAAUUUUGUUAUUAGAAUUAAUUAUUAGAAUUAAUCUGUCAUUUAACAUACAAGAUGUGAAACGUUGGUUAUGGUCUUGUAAAUCCAUCUUCUACACAGAGGUGUACAACAAUACUGUCACCACAGUAGGAUGGUUGUCAUGUAUGAUAGUUAUUUCCUCCAUGUACAGUACCUUGUUUAUAGAGGUUAAACUGACAAUGAUGCAACUCACCCUGUUUGAAAAUCUUCUUCUAGAUCUGUAUUAUAUCUGUUUAUCUGUAUAUCUUUUUGGCAUAAAAAAAAGCACUAGAAAAUGGAGUUCUAUAAUGAUGUUAGUUCAACCAUGAAUUAAAAUUUUACCAUCACUUAUGUCAUUCCAAACCUGUGUGGCUUUCUAUCUUUCGUGGAAGAUGAUAAGAUAUUUUGGAAAAUGUAGGUUCAGUGUUGUUUUCGAAGAUGCCAUUGACUUUCAUUGUAGGACAAAAACAGCUAAAAACAUUUUCUUUUAUAUUCUGCAGCAAAAAGGACGUCCUACAGGUUUUAAAGAAACUUAAAGCAAGUAAACUGACAGAAUUCAUUUCACAGUGAACUUUUUGCUUAAAUGUGAAUUAGUUUUAGCAUGAGAGUAAACUCAUAUAUAUUAGGGAACAGUUUAUUGAACUUUU